rnacentral:lncRNA from 1 species
CGACGACGAUCAGCAGCCUGACGUUGUUCGCGACGACAAGUGAUGCCCGAGCGACGAAGAGGUAGACGAGCCGUGGUGAAGGAGUCGACGAAGAACUUGACGAAACGGAGGAAGCGAUCGAGCAGUCGCGCAGAGCGCUUCCCAAAAACCUUAUUCGCCCUCUCCCGGUGCAGGAUCGCUGAAGACGACGGUUCCGGAGACCUGCUCUCCCAAUCGCCGGUGCACGCCGACAAUCGGGAUGGAGUAGACUACGGUGGCGGCGCAGCAGCGAGAGGAGGCAAAAAC